UACGUAGGGUGCAAGCGUUGUCCGGAAUUAUUGGGCGUAAAGAGCUCGUAGGCGGUUCGUCACGUCGGCUGUGAAAUCCCGAGGCUCAACCUCGGGUCUGCAGUCGAUACGGGCGGACUUGAGUACUGCAGGGGAGACUGGAAUUCCUGGUGUAGCGGUGAAAUGCGCAGAUAUCAGGAGGAACACCGGUGGCGAAGGCGGGUCUCUGGGCAGUAACUGACGCUGAG
rnacentral:rRNA from 1 species